rnacentral:rRNA from 1 species
AUUUCCGAAUGAGGAAACUCACUUAGAGUAAUGUCUAAGUAUCAUUAAGUGAAUACAUAGCUUAAUGAGGGGAACUCAGGGAACUGAAACAUCUAAGUACCUGAAGGAAGAGAAAGAAAUUCGAUUCUGUAAGUAGCGGCGAGCGAACGCGGAAGAGCCCAAACCAAUAAAGUUUUCUUUAUUGGGGUUGCGGACAUAUCAUAACGAAG